rnacentral:rRNA from 1 species
AGAAUCAACGCUGGCGGCGUGCCUAACACAUGCAAGUCGAACGAGAAAGUGGGGCAAUCCAUGAGUAAAGUGGCGCACGGGUGAGUAACACGUGACUAACCUACCCUUGAGUGGGGGAUAACCUAGAGAAAUCUGGGCUAAUACCGCAUAAUACCUUCGGGUCAAAGGAGCAAUUCGCUUAAGGAGGGGGUCGCGGCCGAUUAGUUAGUUGGCGGGGUAAUGGCCCACCAAGACUGUGAUCGGUAUCCGGCCUGAGAGGGCGCACGGACACACUGGAACUGAAACACGGUCCAGACUCCUACGGGAGGCAGCAGUGGGGAAUUUUGCGCAAUGGGGGAAACCCUGACGCAGCAACGCCGCGUGGAGGAUGAAGCCCCUUGGGGCGUAAACUCCUUUCGAUCGGGAAGAUAAUGACGGUACCGAGAGAAGAAGCCCCGGCUAACUUCGCGCCAGCAGCCGC